GUAACUCUGCACUAUUACAUAAUGAUAGAUAAGUGCUAUUUGCGUAGGAAAAUAUAAUGCUCCAUUGUUUAUACUUUUGUUGCUGACCCGGUUUAUGAGGGCCUGCAGAAGUUAAUGUAUGUGACUAUAAUAACAUUAUACUACUGUAAUUACUUCAUAUAGGAUGUGUAACCAUCCCUGGAAAACAAAAUGCUCAAUACGGAAAGGAUCAAUGUUAAGUCAGUUCACAUAAUGGACUAAAUGAACGGAUGGGAUUCAUCUUCCGGUGUGUAUGUGUACAAAGGCUUUGAGAAGAUUGAAGAAAUGGAACGCCUUCAAAUUUGGCGGACAUCACAGAAAUCGAUUAAAUUCGAUUGAUUUCUGCGACAUUUUUGGUUAUCGUUGAGUCCAAAUUCAGCCAUAAAAGAAAGUACAACUGGGUCUUUGGGAUGUUGGAGGUCAACAGAGGUAAUAGAUGACCCGAUUUGAAAAUGGUACCUUCAAGCUCACGCAGAGUACUGAUCCCGAUCAUUAGAAAACAACAUCAAAAGAGGAUCAACCAUCUACAGUGACUCGUGGAGAGCAUAUGUGCAGGCGCUGAAUCCACUAGGUUAUCAGCAUCACACUGUGAACCACAGGCAGAACUUUGUUGAUCCACAUUCGAGCAGCCACACACAGCACAUUGAACGCUCUUUGCAGAUGAUCAAAAAACAGGUCUGGAGACUAAAAGGGAAUCAAUCAGAGAAAAUGUUGAAGAACCAUUUGAAAUGUAUUGAAUGGACUUACUGGUUGGGCAAAAAACACAGGGGAGGCAUCUUCGGACAACUGAUCAACAACAUUAAGAAGAGAUAUAAAGUGUGACUGAAUUUUUUGGAGGGAGAAAAGCACAUAUUGGGC
rnacentral:lncRNA from 1 species